AUUUAAAAAUGUUAAAAAAUAAUAUAGUUUAAAAAUUUCUCAAGGCACUGCUGGGCAGAAAGCUUAAAUUUAAGCAAAUGAAUACUUAAAAUGGAUAUAAACAUUUUAGAGCCAGCAACUAUUCAAAACAUAAAUGUUUUAGGAUGAAGAAGCCUUUUAUAGUUGUAAUAAGCUUGCAUUGUUUUUGAUAUCUGUUAUAAAUUACAACUCUGAUUAUUAUAUAAACAUGGAAUUAUGUUAGUCUAUGAGUCUUGGUUAAUGGGUGUCACACAUUUUCUGUAUAUUUCUAAAUUCUCCAAAUUAAAAAUAUUGAUCCAAAACUAGAAGCAAGAAUGACAGCUAUUUUAUAUGAUUUUUUAACAAGUUAUAGCUAUUAUUUUUCUUCACCUGAUUCAAAGGAAUGCAUAGGAUGUAUUCAUGUAGAACACACCUAUUAGUACUUACGAUAGAGGAAUGGUAUUGGCAAUUUAAUUUCAGUUAUCUACAUUUUCUAAACAAUGAAGAUGUAUCACUGAACAUAACAUAGAAAUAGCAACCAUUCAAAAUAGUUGAACAUUUAUUGUAUCAUUUACUCUAUAGAGGCAAUCUCAUUAUUACAGUAAAUAUAGCCAGUUAUGUGCAUUUAUAGACACAGGGUUCUAUAAUGUACAUGGCAAUUUGUAACAAAUACACAAAUGUAAUGGAUAUUUGGGGUUAUUUUUGAUACAAGCUUAUAUAACAAAGAUUCUGUGGCUGUGUGCUAAGGAGCGGUUUCGAUUUGAAGACUUGAAAAAUUUUUAAUGAAAUCUUGCCUCCUUCCCCCUUUUUUUGGCAGAUGAAUUAUUGAAGAAAAAGUGUGAAAGCAGAUUGAUUCUGUACCCACUUUUUAGAUUUCAGAUUCACAUGCAUCGUAAUAAAGUUGCCUCCAUGCGGUCUUAAUUCAGUGAAGGCUUUCUGGUUUGGAGUUCAUAUACAUAAUUGUGCAAAGGCUCUGUAGUGUAAUACCUUUGUGAUGUGUACAGACAUAACAAAAUUUACCUAGGAUGUUUCUUAUUCUGAACAAAGCAAUAACAGAAAUUGGUACCAAGAGUGAGAUAUGAACCACCAUUUUAAGACCUUUAUUUCAUUAUCAGUAUCUUCUUCAUGAACAUAGUCCAGGAGGCUAUGUGGCAGCAGAGUUGGCUAUGCUCCAGAAGAUGAUACUCUAGGCUAGAGAUCAGCAAAGUUUUCCUAUAAAGGACCAAAUUCACCAACAGUCUCUGAAGGCAAGAGGUCAGCAAGAGAAGCCUGUGUCAGCAGAGUGUGAAGGGACCUUGAUGUGCAUAUGGAGUGAGUGCCUACAUAGAAGAUGGUUGGAGCUGCCACCCUGCUCUAGGUUUGCACAGCCCUCACGCUAUGGAGGAGUUCCCUAGAGAUUCUUUGGACUCCUUGAGAAGGAACGUGGAAGUUAAAGGAAGGGCAGAAGCUGUACAAUACCUAGGUCAAGUGAGAAGACAACCUACCUCAAGAGAGGCUUUGAGGACAUUUAUCACAUAUGGGCCCAAGGGACAAGCUCCUCCUCCCUUAAGAGGCUGAGGUGAAGCUGACCGUAGACCAAGAAGACCAGCAGCACGAGACAGAACCAAGUCAAAUCAAUAGAAAUGAGGGCCACUUCCUACCACCAUCACCACCAGGCAAACAGUUACGUAUUUCUACCUCCUUCAUCCAUUCUCCUUGCCCCCAACACCAGACUUAAAGAAGAAAAGGGACAAAGUAUCACAAGGACAGACGAUACUGUUACAAAUCCUGGACUUGCCAUCCAGCCCAUGAUUGAGAUGGAUUUAGGGGUAGGGUUGCAAAAACAGUGUUUUGCAUCAGAUAUAAAUGUCAAGAACUAUGGAGGGUCUGGUUUCGCAUUGCAAGCUAACAAGUUAGCCUCCAUGUCUGAUGGCAGAAGACUUAGACUCCUGGGUCAGAAAAUAAUUGCAUUUAUUACCACACAAUAAAAGCAUGAGCCUCAGCAUAUUGGCUGGUUUCCCUUGCCCCCAGGUCCUGUUGGGGGUAGGAGUGAUUCAUGGGCUACGAUAAUAUGAAUACACGGAGUAAGUAUGCUCUAGGAGAAGCCAGGGCCAAGAGCCCAGUGCUUUCUGAGCAAACAGUAAACAUAGGAAAGAGCAAGCAAGCCAGUUGCCCUCUUCUUAAGAGUGAGCAGUGGGGCGCCU